rnacentral:rRNA from 1 species
GUCGAGAAUAAUUCACAAUGGGGGCAACCCUGAUGGUGCAACGCCGCGUGGAGGAUGACGGUCUUCGGAUUGUAAACUCCUGUCAUCUGGGAGUAAGACCUGGCUGUGAAUAGCAGCCAGGGUUGCUAGUACCAGAAGAGGAAUGGACGGCUAACUUCGUGCCACCAGCCGCGGUAAUACGAAGGUCCCGAGCGUUGUUCGGAAUUCCUGGGCGUAAAGGGAGCGUAGGCGGUAUGGUAAGUCAGAUGUGAAAGCCCGGGGCUCAACCCCGGAACUGCAUCCGAUACUGCUGUGCUAGAGGAGUGGAGAGGUAGCUGGAAUUCUUGGUGUAGCAGUGAAAUGCGUGGAGAUCAAGAGGAACACUCGUGGCGAAAGCGAGCUACUGGACAAUAUCUGACGCUGAGGCUCGAAGGCCCGGGUAGCGAAAGGGAUU